rnacentral:rRNA from 1 species
UAGGGAAUCUUCGGCAAUGGACGAAAGUCUGACCGAGCAACGCCGCGUGAGUGAAGAAGGUUUUCGGAUCGUAAAACUCUGUUGUUAGAGAAGAACAAGGACGUUAGUAACUGAACGUCCCCUGACGGUAUCUAACCAGAAAGCCACGGCUAACUACGUGCCAGCAGCCGCGGUAAUACGUAGGUGGCAAGCGUUGUCCGGAUUUAUUGGGCGUAAAGCUAGCGCAGGCGGUUUCUUAAGUCUGAUGUGAAAGCCCCCGGCUCAACCGGGGAGGGUCAUUGGAAACUGGGAGACUUGAGUGCAGAAGAGGAGAGUGGAAUUCGAUGUGUAGCGGUGAGAUGCGUAGAUAUAUGGAGGAACACCAGUGGCGAAGGCGGCUCUCUGGUCUGUAACUGACGCUGAGGCUCGAAAGCGUGGGGAGCAAACAGG